rnacentral:lncRNA from 1 species
CGCGCCUACACUAGAUCCCGUCUUCCUCUGGGAGAAUGAUUCAGUGCAGCGAGGUGCACCAAGGACGUGCCACGUUUCGUGCACGGACUGGUUGGCUCUCCUGGUCAACUCAGAUGCGAAAAAAGUAUGGCCAUCACAAGGCUCUGGAUGAGGGUGCACGGCGGCAAGGAUGGACACACGCACACAGGAUUAUUUCUCUAAUUAAUCUCCUUCCUUCUCUCUCUGGACGUGUUGGGCAAUAGAUUUAGAGUAUUUUGGCAGUGUUUUUCCCUCCUUUUGUGUUCUUCACAAGCCUUUAUUUAUAGGAAAAAAAAACCAACCUAAAAAAUGCCCAGAAUCUACAUAAUUAAUAUUUUUACAAAUCAAAUAUUUCAAUUAAUAAUUUUAAUCAACCUGAUCUGAUUCCUUUAAAAAUUGAUUUGAAAUUUGAAUUUCAAAUCUGAAAUUUGAAUUUCAAAUCUGAAAUUUGAAUUUCAAAUUUGAAUUUUGAAUUUUAAAUUUCGAAUUUUGAAUUUUAAAUUUCGAACAAAAAAUUUAGAAAAAAAUUAUUCUUUACUAUUUCG